CGACUAAUCUUUUCCUCCAAAUUCCCCUCUAGCGCCCACAUGCUCCUACUGGGCAGGGCCAUCCUCUUCCUCGGUUCCUCCCUGGCCGUCCUGCAGGCACCCAAUUAGAGUGAUGCAUCCCCACGCUGAGCUCCUCUAUCCUCCCUGGCCAUCCCCUGUUCCCGAUUCAGGGGCGCAGCCGGCAGGCCCACAUCGAUGGCAACGUGGGCUGCGGGGCCUAUGGCGGCAGUCAGCGGCGGACGCCCUCAGCACGAGCAGGGUGACAUGACUGCGAGCAAGCGGACGGACGGGUCUAGAUGGUGGUGUUCCAUCUUCAUCAUGUCGUCUGCUCCUCUUCGUGUUGAAUUUGGUUGCGACUGCAUCUAGAUCGUCUGCUCCAUUUCCAUUUCCUCACAUUUGUGCGACACUCUGCCAGACUGAUGUUCUUCUGAUCUGGGAGUGUGAGAGCUGUUGCUCCGGCUGGUGCUUCUGCUGAUUCACGUCGCCCCGUUGCCCCGCCGCUCUCGCCGCAAGCCCGCAACCGCCGAACAUGUCCAUGUCGUGCAUCAUGGUGUAGCUGCUGCCUGGCUGGCCGGAGGCCCGCGUCGCGCACGGGUCAGUGGUGCAACGACCGUGGAGUGGUCCUUGCCCAGAUCGACCACGGGGCUACCCGGCGCCUGCUGAUCUAGGAGCGCGGCUCAGCUUCCACGCGACGAUGACAACACUGUUGGCAACGCAGAUCGUGACAGACGUGCAGCAGAAGCAGGUUUGAGAGGCCGGGUUGCACCGUCCUUUUCUUGCUCGCAGACUACAGGCUGUAAAUUGAAAAGAACCACCCGUUUCUGCAUCCUCGGUCCUUGCACCGAUAAGUAAAAAAACAUUCACUCUUAAUAUUGUACACUAUAACUCUUUGGUAUCUCGAUAUGAAAUUUGAAUAUUUCAUGGUUUCUACAUAUAAUGCAUUGUUGCUGUACCAUCGGUAGCAAUUCAGUGGUAUCCUUUUGCACAGCCCCACCAGCCUCAAGUUCAGCAGUGAAAAGGGGUUCGACAGUAAGAUCAGAUGUUUCUCAUUCUGAAACUUACGUCCUAGCACCAUCACCUUACAGUCACGCUGCCAUGGUAAAAGUGAGAGUUGUAUCCUUCUGCCCAGUCUCCAGCAACACAUCAGUAUUAGUAAUAGAUCGAUUAAUCCAAUGGCUGUUCUAGCACAUUCAAGAUGAUAUGCAUUAUCCUUUCCCUUAAGCUUACGUGUCCAAAAUCAUUCUUGAAUAGUCUUCUCACUACAAUGUGCUCUGUAGUACAAUAUCAGGUUUCAUGGUUUGAGUUUAACAGUGUAUUAGCCCUUCCGUAUGUUCUAACUAGCACAUUAAUCUCGAGUUCUUCCAUCAAUUUGUAUUAUUUGAAGUUCUCAACGUAAAGUUGACCCUGCUCAGGAUUACUUCUUAACGGUCUUUUCCAAACUUUUCACAUGUUCCUCUUCUUUCAAACUUAUAUACAUGUUUAUCAGCAAAUUCAACUGAUAAUAUGCCAUGUUUGUGAAAUUUAGAUGUUGGUACCUGGGAGAUAUAUUUCAGUGUCCAGAAUUAUGAUGAUUUCGAACAUGGUUAAUUUAAUACGGAGGAUCAGACAUGGACCUAAAACAAGGUCAACCAUUCAAAAA